rnacentral:rRNA from 1 species
GACGAACGCUGGCGGCGUGCUUAACACAUGCAAGUCGAACGAUGAAGCUAGAGCUUGCUCUGGUGAAUUAGUGGCGAACGGGUGAGUAACACGUGAGUAACCUGCCCCGAACUCUGGGAUAACUGCUGGAAACGGUAGCUAAUUCUGGAUACGAACUACGAAGGCAUCUUCUGUAGGUGGAAAGAAUUUCGGUUCGGGAUGGACUCGCGGCCUAUCAGCUUGUUGGUGAGGUAAUGGCGCACCAAGGCGACGACGGGUAGCCGGCCUGAGAGGGUGACCGGCCACACUGGGACUGAGACACGGCCCAGACUCCUACAGGAGGCAGCAGUGGGGAAUAUUGCACAAUGGGCGCAAGCCUGAUGCAGCAACGCCGCGUGAGGGAUGACGGCCUUCGGGUUGUAAACCUCUUUUAGUAGGGAAGAAGCGAAAGUGACGGUACCUGCAGAAAAAGCACCGGCUAACUACGUGCCAGCCGCCGCGGUAA